GCGUGAGUGAAGAAGGCCCUAGGGUUGUAAAACUCUUUCACCAGGGACGAUGAUGACGGUACCUGGAGAAGAAGCCCCGGCUAACUCCGUGCCAGCAGCCGCGGUAAUACGGAGGGGGCUAGCGUUGUUCGGAAUUACUGGGCGUAAAGCGCGCGUAGGCGGUUUAUCAAGUCAGGCGUGAAAGCCCCGGGCUCAACCCGGGAACUGCGCUUGAUACUGGUUGACUAGAGGCCGGGAGAGGGUAGUGGAAUUCCCAGUGUAGAGGUGAAAUUCGU
rnacentral:rRNA from 1 species